rnacentral:rRNA from 1 species
GCCUGCCCGGUGACCAUGAGUUUAACGGCCGCGGUAUUCUGACCGCGCAAAGGUAGCGUAAUCACUUGUCUUCUAAAUAAAGACUAGUAUGAACGGCCACACGAAGACUUGACUGUCUCCCUAGUCCAAUCAGUGAAACUAAUCUCCUCGUGCAGAAGCGAGAAUACACCCAUUAGACGAGAAGACCCUAUGGAGCUUUAAACUCAAUAUUAAUUAUAUUUAACUCUUCUCUAAGGAACUAACAACUUUUUAAACUUAAUAUUAGUUUUAGGUUGGGGCGACCAUGGAGAAAAAAAUAUCCUCCCUGAUGAUUUUCUAACCAAGAGCUACAGCUCUAAGUAUUAAGACCCUUAACUCCCAUUGACCCAUUUUAUGAUCAACGAACCAAGUUACCCUAGGGAUAACAGCGCAAUCCAUUUCAAGAGUUCCUAUCGACAAAUGGGUUUACGACCUCGAUGUUGGAUCAGGGCAUCCUAGUGGUGCAACCGCUACUAACGGUUCGUUUGUUCAACGAUUAAAGCCCU